UUUCCGGUUGAUCCUGCCGGAGGCCACUGCUAUGGGGGUCCGACUAAGCCAUGCGAGUCAUGGGGCGCGCUCUGCGCGCACCGGCGGACGGCUCAGUAACACGUCGGUAACCUACCCUCGGGAGGGGGAUAACCCCGGGAAACUGGGGCUAAUCCCCCAUAGGCCUGAGGUACUGGAAGGUCCUCAGGCCGAAAGGGGCUCUGCCCGCCCGAGGAUGGGCCGGCGGCCGAUUAGGUAGUUGGUGGGGUAACGGCCCACCAAGCCGAAGAUCGGUACGGGCCAUGAGAGUGGGAGCCCGGAGAUGGACACUGAGACACGGGUCCAGGCCCUACGGGGCGCAGCAGGCGCGAAACCUCCGCAAUGCGGGCAACCGCGACGGGGGGACCCCCAGUGCCGUGGCAUCGCCACGGCUUUUCCGGAGUGUAAAAAGCUCCGGGAAUAAGGGCUGGGCAAGGCCGGUGGCAGCCGCCGCGGUAAUACCCGCAGCCCGAGUGGUGGCCGCUAUUAUUGGGCCUAAAGCGUCCGUAGCCGGCCCGGUAAAUGCCUGGGUAAAUCGUCUGGCCCAACCAGACGAAUUCCGGGUAGACUGCCGGGCUAGGGACCGGAGGAGGGAGAGGGUACUCCAGGGGUAGGGGUGAAAUCAGCAAGGUGAGUUGCUGAUGUAACUUGCCUUGCAAGUCACAAUCCUGUAAUCCCUGGAGGACCACCGGUGGCGAAGGCGCUCUCCUAGGACGGGUCCGACGGUGAGGGACGAAAGCCAGGGGAGCAAACCGGAUUAGAUACCCGGGUAGUCCUGGCCGUAAACGAUGUGGGCUUGGUAUUGGGAUGGCUACGAGCCGUUCCAGUGCCGUAGGGAAGCCGUUAAGCCCACCGCCUGGGGAGUACGGUCGCAAGGCUGAAACUUAAAGGAAUUGGCGGGGGAGCACUGCAACGGGAGGAGCGUGCGGUUUAAUUGGAGUCAACGCCGGGAAUCGUCGACCUGCAA
rnacentral:rRNA from 1 species